rnacentral:sRNA from 1 species
AAAAGCUUUUAUAAACUUUUAGAAUCGGAUUACGUAAGAUGUGUACUGUCUGAUGGAUGAUAUUCUAAAAUAGCUUUGAGCCAUUCCCAGGGGGUGUUAUUACAAAUGACGAACUCGGGGGACUUUUGAGGAAGCUGAUGGAAUAAGUAUCAGUGUACAAAGUCACUUAUUGAAACCACAAACACGGAAUUUAGCGGCCGCGCACGUGACUGCGCACACGGAAUCAGAGACCUCUCUGAUGUGACAAUAAAAAGUGCACUCAAUACUAGAAAUGAUUCUAAAAAUGACGUGUUCACACUUGCCAGAUUAGUCGACGAUUCUUAGAAUUUUCAAUUGCUUUUUUUUUUAAUAAAAGUGCUACGUCGUGGG